GACGAACCGUGCGAACGUUAUUCGGAAUCAUUGGGCUUAAAGGGCGCGUAGGCGGCGAUAUAAGUUGGAAGUGAAAUCCCAUCGGCUCAACCGUGGAAUAGCUCCCAGUACUGUAUCGCUCGAGGGGGAUAGGGGUCUGCGGAACUACCGGUGGAGCGGUGAAAUGUGUUGAUAUCGGUGGGAACGCCAGUGGCGAAAGCGGCGGACUUGACCCUUCCUGACGCUGAGUGCGCGAAAGCUAGGGGAGCAAACGGG
rnacentral:rRNA from 1 species